AAUCAAGAAUUACCUAUCAAGUCUCUUCCUCUCUUCUCUAAACCGGCGACCAGGAGAACUUCUCCUGUCGACGGGUAGCUCGGCGUGGGGGCAUAACCCUGCCGGCAACCACGGGUCAAGGCUACGAUCUACGUAGCCGAGGUCCUCCUACCUUGGGUAAUACCGCCCUUGACAAUGCAUGUAUGAAGAUGAUUUUUUUGUGAUUUGGAGUACUAAAUUAGCUUGAUCGGUAUUAGUUGGAACAUGAAAAAUUAUCUAUCUGGAUACAUAAAUGGAGAUGGAGUUUUUUCUUGAUUAUGAUCAUACUUUUUUUGAAUUUUCCUUGUUUUUCUCUAGUUAAUAUGAAUGACUUGGUGACAAACAUUUUUGAUUCCAUGCUGUAAUGGAGCAGACAGCUCCCUGCAUGUCCCUUGUGCAAUAUAUUUCUUUGUAUGCUGGUAGCGGUGUGAGGCGCUGUUGCCAGGUUCUCGGUUAAUUAUCCCAGGGAAUGUCCGGUGACCAAACAAACCCGGGUAAUUCUCUCAUGGAGGUAUUUUCUGACAAGGAAGUAAAGUGACAAGGAAAUCUCCCCCUUUGGUACUUUUUCUGGGUUAAUUACCCUUUGGCUCCCAAACUAGCCCUCAGGAGCCCAUCCCCUCCUCCCUCAAACGACGCCGGGUGACAAGCAGGAAAAGUAGUAAUGACGACAUGCAAACUGAAUAAGAUUCUGUAUUUUGAAUACGAUUCUAGAGAUGCACGCUCUGUUCAUCAAUGCUGCUACGUUUUGAAACUUCAACAUUUCAUUACUGCUACGAAUAUAUGUACACAGUAAUAUAACCUCUAAGCUCCUCAUGUUGCUACAUUUGUAAACUUC
rnacentral:lncRNA from 7 species